AUGGCUCUGGAAAGGCCCAGAAGGGGAAUCAUAGAAAGCGGGUGGGGGGAAGCGACCUCAGGAGACCACAUCUUGUCCAACUGCUCAAAGCAGGACCAGCCCCAACCACAUCACCCCAGCCAAGGCUUUCUCCAGCCAGAUCUUAAAACUGUUCAAGGAGGGAGAUCCCACCACUUCUCUGGGAAGCCCCUUCCAGCCAGGGGGUGUUUGAAUCCCCAAGCCUUGACUAUGUGCUCCCACGGAGGGAGCCUCCUGUCCGGCCUUCGCUACAUUUUAAGGCGCGCUUCCUGGCCCACCCAUGCCCAAAGGGUGCGCUGCAGGCUGGGCACAGCGCGGCUCCCCCCUCGCCUUCACCGUGUCCCCUCCGCCCCCGCGCUCCGGGCGGGGGCAGCCGGGGGUCGGUCACCCCGCGCCCGCCACCCCCGCCCCCGCUCGGCGUUGUGCCAACGGGACCCUUCUGCAGAGCCCUUGAUCUCCCCGCACACACCUGCCCGCCUGCGGGCGGCCGCGCUCCCUCCCCCGCGACUCACGGGCCCGGCGGGGAGGGGGCCCCCCACCCCCGGCCACAACAUGGAGCCGGAGCGGGAGGCCGAGGCGGGGAGGGGAGAGGAGGCCCCGGUCCCGGUCCCCUCCCGCCGCCCCGGCCGCACAAAGCGCCGGGCCGGGCCGAGCCCGGGCGGGGCUCCGCACUUCCUGGUGGCCGCGGCGGCAGCGCCGGGGCCCGGGGAGGGAGACGGACAUUUCAUUCGAGCCUGCAGUGGAACCGGUUCGCAAUCAUUGGCCGGAGCCAGGCACAAACCUCCAGUGCGGCCCUGGUUGGCUCCCUCCGCAAGCCGGCUGUUUGGUUGGACAGAAAAUGGCUGCGAAGGAACCAGUCCCAGCGCGGAGCCCCGCUUCCCGCAGCCGGCCUGCCCUCCCUCCGCGCCGCCUCCUGCCGGCAGCGGCUCUUCCCGCCGCGCCGCCUCCCGCCUUAUACCCCGCAACAGCCGCCCCGGGGCUGCUCGGAGCCUCCCUCGCCCUGUGCGCGGGCACCUGGGCACUGCCGCCCCGCUGGGCCGCGCCGAGGCUGCCAAGGGCAGGUUGUUGCGGUCCUAG
rnacentral:lncRNA from 1 species